AUUGAACGCUGGCGGCAGGCUUAACACAUGCAAGUCGAGCGAGCGGCGGACGGGUGAGUAAUGUCUGGGAAACUGCCUGAGGGAGGGGGAUAACUACUGGACACGGUAGCUAAUACCGCAUACCAUCGGAUGUGCCCAGAUGGGAUUAGCUAGUGGGUGGGGUAACGGCCUACCUAGGCGACGAUCCCUAGCUGGUCUGAGAGGAUGACCAGCCACACUGGAACUGAGACACGGUCCAGACUCCUACGGGAGGCAGCAGUGGGGAAUAUUGAACAAUGGGCGCAAGCCUGAUCCAGCCAUGCCGCGUGUAUGAAGAAGGUCUUCGGGUUGUAAAGUACUUUCAGUUAGGAGGCGUUACCCGCAGAAUAAGCACCGGCUAACUCCGUGCCAGCAGCCGCGGUAAUAC
rnacentral:rRNA from 1 species